CUGCUUGCUUCGGCAGCGCAUACACCAAAACUGGAAUGAUACAGAGGGAGCAUGGCCCCUAUGCAAGGAUAACAUGCAAAUUUGUGAAGCAUAAAAUGUAAAA
rnacentral:snRNA from 1 species